UUGUCAAUUGAGAUGCUAAUACAUGGAUUGCUCAAUCUGAGGGUGGAUUCAUGGACUUGAUACUGUCAAAAGUAACAUCCUGUACGGUGGAAACUCUGGAGCUUCACUGCAUUUUUGGCAAUGGUGUGAGAUCCAAACAAAAUAUCUGGGAUAAGGAUGCAACAGGGACGUUUUUUAAGCCGAUUGCAUUGCAUCGUGCUUUAUGAACGGGAGCUGUCCGUCAUGGUAAUGGUGGAAGCAGAUGCCACUACGGUGGAAUGGAAUUGGAAGUUCAACCUAUUAAACACGAGAGGACCGCGGAAAUGACCAACUAGGGUCCUAGCUAGAAAUGUCUAUUAUAUCGGGUGUAACGAUAGUAACUUUUCUUGAAGGAUGCUAAUUUUCCUCAUAACUGUGGUUAUGUUACUUCUAAAUUGUACUUAAUGUUACUUAUAAACAUGCAUAUAAAGAUUGCAAUUAAUCUCUCGUAUAACUAAGACUAAGAAUACCUGUUAGUAGUUUUCCCAUAAGAUCCUAAUUCUCCGCAAACAGCCAUAGAUACCCAACGAUACCUAUCAUUAGCACCUCAUUCAUAAGCACAAUAAUUCUUUUUCUUCUGCCGAUUGUUGCCAUGUACAUAAGAAGCAUAUAUUUUCAGUGUAAAUAUUAAGGCAAAAUUACGUAAAAAGUUAAAAAGAAGAUGAAAGAGGGAGCAGAUAGUGGGAGUAGGUGAGGUUGAAAGUGGCAUAGGAAGCUGCUCUCCCUUCUAUACGGUCAACAAAUUAAUCAACCUACUCAUUUUCACGAGUCUCUCGCGGUCUCUUUUCCGAAGAUCAAAACUCAAUCGGAUGCAGGGGAAGGCAGAGAUUUGCA